CUUUCUAUACUGUGAGGCGCUGAAACGCAGCGUGUGGUUUGUUUGCGAAGGAUGGGUCUCAUGGAUGUUAAACUCCUUUUAGGAGUUGCGUUGAUGUGUGUACUGCUGCCUUUGGCUGUGAUGGCUCAAGCGCCGCCAGGAACCUUUGUUAGUGAGUGUCGGGACCGACACUUCUGGAUGAAGACUGGAAGAAGCUUCUUAGUUGGAGGAAACUUCCGCUUUGACA